ensembl:ncRNA lncRNA:CR44846 long non-coding RNA:CR44846
AUUUCGGCAAAAGUGAAAAAUCAUUCACAUAACCCACCCAGUCACACACCCAGUCGCACACACACUUCUCAUUGUCGCAGCUUCGGCACACGUGCUGCGGAAUGGCUAAAGAAUGGCAAAAAUGGCAGUGAUGUGGCCUUAACACCACUUUGGUGGGGGUAAUCUGGAUAAAAAAAAGGACUACAAACCACCUACUUACUCAGUCCGCAAAACAUUAAUCGUCCUGCCACUGGUUUGCCUUAUUUUCCGUACUAUCGAAAUUAUAUAACAGGCAUCUGCUCAAUUGAAUUUCCAUUGGCAACUGAACAACAGGCCAUCUCGGUUUCCACUCUUCCAUUUCCAUUCACAUUUCUCAUCGGGCUACAUUCCGCUACGUUCUGGUCGACCGACUGCCUCAAAAAAUUUAUUUUGCAUUUUACAACUGCAAUGUGCAAGGAUUCGCCAAAGGCAAUCCGCCUGGUAAAACCAAAGACCCAGCUACUCGGCAGCUCUCAGCUCGAUUGGAGGACGAGCGAACGUAUAAAAAAUAGCUUUGAAUUUUCAGGAAAAUUAGCUGCCAAUUGUUUUCACCGCUCAGCAUCGAUAUUCAGCUGAUAAAUGGAGAACGGACGGAACGGAAAUUGUGCUAAACCAAGCGGGAAAUUUCGAAUUUUUGGCCCGAUUUCGGUUUAGCCCCACAAAGAGUUGCACUUUAAGUGAAAUACUUUAAUUUGGCAGUAUAAUUUCGGUAGUUUCUGUAGUAGGAAAUCGCAUUGCAUCUCAAGGAUGUCCGCAUGAAAGGUGAGAUACGAAGUCAUCACUGUGGACAGCAGCUUGUGUAGUGACGAAGCGCACCACGAGAGUACUUUAUAGUACUUAAAGUGGGUGCGAGGUCUGGGAAAUUGACUUAAUUUCUAAAAUGUAUUAACAAACUUUGUCACAAAAUUCGAAACGGU